rnacentral:rRNA from 1 species
AGAGUUUGAUCCUGGCUCAGGACGAACGCUGGCGGCGUGCUUAACACAUGCAAGUCUAAGGAGAAAGUUCCUUCGGGAGCGAGUACACUGGCGAACGGGUGAGUAACGCGUAGGUAACCUACCCUUAAGCUCGGGAUAACCCACCGAAAGGUGGCUAAUACCGGAUAAUAUCUCUCCUCAUAAGGAGUAGAGAUCAAAGAUGGCUUCGGCUAUCACUUAUGGAUGGGCCUGCGUCUGAUUAGUUUGUUGGUGAGGUAAUGGCUCACCAAGGCAAUGAUCAGUAGCUGGUCUGAGAGGGCGAUCAGCCACAUUGGGACUGAGAUACGGCCCAGACUCCUACGGGAGGCAGCAGUGGGGAAUUUUGCGCAAUGAGCGAAAGCUUGACGCAGCAACGCCGCGUGAUCGAAGAAGCUCUGCGGAGUGUAAAGAUCUGUCAUAGGGGAAGAUAAGUUCCGUUAUUAACACCAUCGGGAUGUGACGGUACCCUAUAAGAAAGCCCCGGCUAACUUCGUGCCAGCAGCCGCGGUAAUACGAGGGGGGCAAGCGUUGUCCGGAUUUAUUGGGCGUAAAGAGUUCGUAGGCUGGUUGGUCAGUCGAAAUUGAAAUCCCACGGCUUAACCGUGGUUCCGGUUUCGAUACUGCCAAUCUUGAGUGAGGUAGAGGUAAGCGGAAUUCCUGGUGUAGCGGUGAAAUGCGUAGAUAUCAGGAGGAACACCAAAGGCGAAGGCAGCUUACUGGACCUAUACUGACGCUGAGGAACGAAAGCGUGGGGAGCAAACAGGAUUAGAGACCCUGGUAGUCCACGCCGUAAACGAUGAGUACUUGGUGGUGGGGGAUUCGACCCCUUCACUGUCGGAGCUAACGCGUUAAGUACUCCGCCUGGGAACUACGACCGCAAGGUUGAAACUCAAAGGAAUUGACGGGGACCCGCACAAGCGGUGGAUUAUGUGGUUUAAUUCGAUGCAACGCGAAGAACCUUACCUGGACUUGACAUGUUAGUGAAACUUCGGUGAAAGCCGGAGCCUCUGCGAGCUUGCUCAAGGACACUAUCACAGGUGAUGCAUGGCUGUCGUCAGCUCGUGUCGUGAGAUGUUCGGUUAAGUCCGAUAACGAGCGCAACCCCUAUCCUUAGUUGCCAGCACGUAAUGGUGGGGACUCUAGGGA